ACUGUGCUACAAUGGCCCUUACAAACUUCACUAUACUGCUGUGUGCUGUGUGUCUUUUCAAUAUGGUUCAUGGUUGGUCCAUUACAGAGUCUGGAUCAGCCAUCAAACGUCCUGGAGAAUCCCAUAGACUCACAUGCACUACCACUGAGUUAAGCUUCAGUAGCCAUGGAUGGAACUGGAUCAGACAGGCUCCAGGUAAAGGUCUGGAGUGGAUCGCAUACGUGUGCACAUCUAGUUCUCCAAUCUACUACUCCAAGUCAGUGGAGGGACGCUUCACCAUCUCCAGAGACGACUCCAGCAGCCAGGUGUAUCUGCAGAUGAGCGGCCUGAGGACAGAGGACACUGCGCUGUAUUACUGUGCCAGAAGAGACACAAUGAGACAGAAUAACAGAGCACUGGGACAAAAACUACUUCCACUGUUCACUGUGCUCUUCUCUACUGGAUGAAAAUAGUGGGA